CCUACGGGUGGCAGCAGUGGGGAAUAUUGGACAAUGGGGGCAACCCUGAUCCAGCCAUGCCGCGUGUGUGAAGAAGGCCCUCGGGUUGUAAAGCACUUUCAGUGAGGAAGAACGCCUGGUGGUUAAUACCCAUCAGGAAAGACAUCACUCACAGAAGAAGCACCGGCUAACUCCGUGCCAGCAGCCGCGGUAAUACGGAGGGUGCGAGCGUUAAUCGGAAUUACUGGGCGUAAAGCGCGCGUAGGUGGCUUGAUAAGCCGGUUGUGAAAGCCCCGGGCUCAACCUGGGAACGGCAUCCGGAUCUGUCAAGCUAGAGUGCAGGAGAGGAAGGUAGAAUUCCCGGUGUAGCGGUGAAAUGCGUAGAGAUCGGGAGGAAUACCAGUGGCGAAGGCGGCCCUCUGGACUGACACUGACACUGAGGUGCGAAAGCGUGGGUAGCAAACAGGAUUAGAUACCCGUGUAGUC
rnacentral:rRNA from 1 species